rnacentral:rRNA from 1 species
AUUGAACGCUGGCGGCAGGCCUAACACAUGCAAGUCGAACGCGUGGCGGACGGGUGAGUAAUGUCUGGGAAACUGGUCGAUGGAGGGGGAUAACUGCUGGAAACGGUAGCUAAUACCGCAUACCAUCGGAUGUGCCCAGAGGGGAUUAGCUAGUAGGUGGGGUAAAGGCUCACCUAGGCGACGCUCCAUAGCUGGUCUGAGAGGAUGACCAGCCACACGGGAACGGAGACAAGGUCCAGAAGCCUACGGGAGGCAGCAGUGGGGAAUAUUGAAAAAUGGGCGCAAGCCUGAUGCAGCCAUGCCGCGUGGAUGAAGAAGGCCUUCGGGUUGUAAAGUUCUUUCAGCCGGGAGGCGUUACCCGCCGAAGAAGCACCGGCUAACUCCGUGCCAGCAGCCGCGGUAAUAC